rnacentral:tRNA from 3 species
UCAGGGGUAGCUCAAUCGGCAGAGCAAUUGGCUGUUAACCAAUUGGUUGUGGGUUCGAGUCCCACCCCCUGAG